UACGGAGGGGGCUAGCGUUGUUCGGAAUUACUGGGCGUAAAGCGCACGUAGGCGGACCAGUCAGUUGGGGGUGAAAUCCCGGGGCUCAACCCCGGAACUGCCUCCAAAACUGCUGGUCUGGAGGUCGAGAGAGGCGAGUGGAAUUCCGAGUGUAGAGGUGAAAUUCGUAGAUAUUCGGAGGAACACCAGUGGCGAAGGCGGCUCGCUGGCUCGAUACUGACGCUGAGGUGCGAAAGCUAGGGGAGCAAACGGG
rnacentral:rRNA from 1 species